GACGAACGCUGGCGGCGUGCCUACUACAUGCAAGUCGAACGCAGUGGGGACGGGUGAGUACCACGUGGGUAACCUCCCAUCAGAGGGGAUAACACUUGGAAACAGGUUCUAAACCGCUACUGAUGGAUGGACCCGCGGUGCAUUAGCUAGUGGGUGAGGUAACGGCUCACCAAGGCCACGAUGACUAGCAGACCGGAGAGGGUGAGCGGCCACACUGGAACUGAGAGACGGCCCAGAAUCCUACGGGAGGCAGCAGUAGGGAAUCUUCGGCAAUGGACGAAAGUCUGACCGAGCAACUCCGCGUGAGUGAAGAAGGUUUUCGGAACGUAAAACUCUGUUGUUAGAGAAGCGGUAUCUAACCAGAAAGCCACGGCUAACUACUUGCCAGCAGCCGCGGUAAUAC
rnacentral:rRNA from 1 species